CAUGAAGUGCCUGAAAAAGGGCUACCCUGAUAGGGUAGAAUAUAUAAAUAUACAUAUUUAUCUUCAUU
rnacentral:tRNA from 1 species